UAUGGGGGCCUAGUGGAUAAGAUGAUUGACUGUGGAUCAGAGAGUCGCUGGUUCGAUCCCCUGCUCCUCUAG